AUUGAACGCUGGCGGCAUGCUUUACACAUGCAAGUCGAACGGUAACAGGCCGCAAGGUGCUGACGAGUGGCGAACGGGUGAGUAAUGCAUCGGAACGUGCCCAGUCGUGGGGGAUAACGCAGCGAAAGCUGCGCUAAUACCGCAUACGAUCUAUGGAAGAAAGCGGGGGACCGUAAGGCCUCGCGCGAUUGGAGCGGCCGAUGUCAGAUUAGGUAGUUGGUGGGGUAAAGGCUCACCAAGCCGACGAUCUGUAGCUGGUCUGAGAGGACGACCAGCCACACUGGGACUGAGACACGGCCCAGACUCCUACGGGAGGCAGCAGUGGGGAAUUUUGGACAAUGGGCGCAAGCCUGAUCCAGCAAUGCCGCGUGCAGGAAGAAGGCCUUCGGGUUGUAAACUGCUUUUGUACGGAACGGAAAGGCUCUGGUUAAUACCUGGGGCUCAUGACGGUACCGUAAGAAUAAGCACCGGCUAACUACGUGCCAGCCGCCGCAGUAACAC
rnacentral:rRNA from 1 species